AUUGAACGCUGGCGGCAUGCCUUACACAUGCAAGUCGAACGGCAGCACGGGGCAACCUGGUGGCGAGUGGCGAACGGGUGAGUAAUGCAUCGGAACGUACCUUUCAGUGGGGGAUAACGUAGCGAAAGUUACGCUAAUACCGCAUAUUCUGUGAGCAGGAAAGCAGGGGAUCGCAAGACCUUGCGCUGAUUGAGCGGCCGAUGUCAGAUCAGCUAGUUGGUGCGGUAAAGGCUCACCAAGGCGACGAUCUGUAGCGGGUCGGAGGUGAUGAUCCGCCACACUGGAACUUGGACACCGUCCAGACUCCUACGGGAGGCAGCAGUGGGGAAUUUUGGACAAUGGAGGCAACCCUGAUCCAGCCAUGCCGCGUGAGUGAAGAAGGGCUUCGGGUUGUAAAGCUCUUUCGGCCGGGAAGAAAUCGCACGGGCUAAUACCCUGUGUGGAUGACGGUACCGGAAUAAGAAGCACCGGCUAACUACGUGCCAGCCGCCGCAGUAACAC
rnacentral:rRNA from 1 species